rnacentral:rRNA from 1 species
UACGUAGGGGGCUAGCGUUAUCCGGAAUUACUGGGCGUAAAGGGUGCGUAGGUGGUUUCUUAAGUCAGAGGUGAAAGGCUACGGCUCAACUGUAGUAAGCCUUUGAAACUGAGAAACUUGAGUGCAGGAGAGGAGAGUAGAAUUCCUAGUGUAGCGGUGAAAUGCGUAGAUAUUAGGAGGAACACCUAAAGCGAAGGCAAUUCUCUGGUACUCCACUGACGUUGAGGUGCGAGAGCGUGGGGAUCAAAAGGG